rnacentral:rRNA from 1 species
CUACGGGCCGCUGCAGUGAGGAAUAUUGGUCAAUGGGCGUAAGCCUGAACCAGCCAUCCCGCGUGCAGGAAGACGGCGCUAUGCGUUGUAAACUGCUUUUCCAGGGAAAGAAAACCCCCGACGUGUCGGGGCUUGCCGGUACCCUGGGAAUAAGCAUCGGCUAACUCCGUGCCAGCAGCCGCGGUAAUACGGAGGAUGCAAGCGUUAUCCGGAUUUAUUGGGUUUAAAGGGUGCGUAGGCGGAUUAAUAAGUCAGUGGUGAAAACCUUCAGCUUAACUGGAGACUUGCCAUUGAUACUGUUAGUCUUGAGUACGGUCAAGGUAGGCGGAAUGUGUAAUGUAGCGGUGAAAUGCUUAGAUAUUACACAGAACACCGAUUGCGAAGGCAGCUUACUGGGCCAUUACUGACGCUGAGGCACGAAAGCGUGGGGAGCGAACAGGAUUAGAUACCCGCGUAGUC